CCUACGGGAGGCAGCAGUGAGGAAUAUUGGUCAAUGGCCGCAGGGCUGAACCAGCCAAGUCGCGUGAGGGAUGACGGUCCUAUGGAUUGUAAACCUCUUUUGUCAGGGAGCAAAGGGCGCCACGUGUGGCGCUUUGCGAGUACCUGAAGAAAAAGCAUCGGCUAAUUCCGUGCCAGCAGCCGCGGUAAUACGGAGGAUGCGAGCGUUAUCCGGAUUUAUUGGGUUUAAAGGGUGCGCAGGCGGAAUGUCAAGUCAGCGGUAAAAUUUCGGGGCUCAACCCCGUCGUGCCGUUGAAACUGGCGUUCUUGAGUGAGCGUGAAGUAUGCGGAAUGCGUGGUGUAGCGGUGAAAUGCAUAGAUAUCACGCAGAACUCCGAUUGCGAAGGCAGCAUACCGGCGCUCAACUGACGCUCAUGCACGAAAGCGUGGGUAUCGAACAGGAUUAGAUACCCCUGUAGUC
rnacentral:rRNA from 1 species